rnacentral:lncRNA from 1 species
CAGGACUGAGCAGAAGAGCCCACAGUGGAAGCUGUGUCUGCAGAGGGCACAGCCGAGCCUCUGCCACAGCUCACGUUGCUGUGCACGCUUUGGUCCCACUGUUGUGAGGUUUUAUUAAUUCCCAAGGCGAGCUUGAAACAUGGAUUCGUUUUUUCAAAUUUAAGGGUAGCAGUGAACAUGUCAACAAAGCAAGCCUGCAUUCAUUGGAAAUUAUCAGGGGCUACUGAUGCUGGCUGCCAUCUUUCCCAGUGUCUUGUAGCUGCUUAGCCGUAAAGAAAGAUCAUGAUAUAAAUACAAAAGUGACGAAGCCACUACAGAGCUGGAGGAUGACCCAGAGAGUUCAGUGACAUGGAAGCCAAGGCAGGAGCGUUGGCAGAAGGAAGGAGAGGUCAAUAGCAUCAGACACAGUCCCGAGUUCGUGGAAGGUAAUGGCUGAUGGAGAAGUAGUCUUUGGAUUUAAGAUAAUGAACUUGUUGGUGACC